UCAAAACAGCGGACUUCGGUCCUUGCUGCACCCUUGUCUUUUGCGCACCGUAUUGUUUCCUCGGCGGGCUUGCCUGCCGGUUGGACAUUAUCAAACCUUUUUGUAGUUGCAAUCAGCGUCAGAAAACAAUAAUUAUUA
rnacentral:misc_RNA from 1 species